rnacentral:lncRNA from 1 species
AAUUGUCUUGUCGGCAUUGAAAAACUCAUAAUAUUCAUAAAUUGUUUAUAUGAUUUUCAGGAUGGGGCUGGUUUUACUGGUCAAGCAGGAUUCCCAGGCCCAAUGGGACCAAAGGGUGACAGAGGAGAACCUGGUUCACCAGGCUAUGGCAUUAAGGUUUGUAAGCAAAAACCAAUAGAUAAAUCCUAAAAUGAAGUGUUUAAAAACCCAGAGUUCACUGCAGCAUAAUUUUGUUUGUAGGGGGAGAAAGGAGAAUCCGGACUAAUUCUUGGACCUGAUGGAAACCCACAUUACCUUGGUGGACUGACAGGCCAAAAGGUUUUUUGUUUUGUUUUGUUGUUUUUGGUUUGAAAGUGAAUUGGAUGUUGAAGU